GUACUCAUUUUGGCAAUAUACAUAUACUAAAACUGGAACAAAGCAGAAAAAUUAGCUUGGUCCCUGUAAAAAGAUGACCUGCAAAUUCAUGAAAUAUUUCAAAUUUUU
ensembl:snRNA U6 U6 spliceosomal RNA